rnacentral:rRNA from 1 species
CUGGCUCAGGAUGAACGCUGGCGGCGUGCUUAACACAUGCAAGUCGAACGAUGAUCCCAGCUUGCUGGGGGAUUAGUGGCGAACGGGUGAGUAACACGUGAGUAACCUGCCCUUGACUCUGGGAUAAGCCUGGGAAACUGGGUCUAAUACCGGAUACGACCAUUCCACGCAUGUGGUGGUGGUGGAAAGCUUUUGUGGUUUUGGAUGGACUCGCGGCCUAUCAGCUUGUUGGUGGGGUAAUGGCCUACCAAGGCGACGACGGGUAGCCGGCCUGAGAGGGUGACCGGCCACACUGGGACUGAGACACGGCCCAGACUCCUACGGGAGGCAGCAGUGGGGAAUAUUGCACAAUGGGCGCAAGCCUGAUGCAGCGACGCCGCGUGAGGGAUGACGGCCUUCGGGUUGUAAACCUCUUUCAGUAGGGAAGAAGCGAAAGUGACGGUACCUGCAGAAGAAGCGCC